rnacentral:rRNA from 1 species
AGGGUUUGAUUAUGGCUCAGGACGAACGCUGGCGGCGUGCUUAACACAUGCAAGUUGAGCGAGGAUGGUUCGAGAGACUUAUGUUGAUUGGAACAUUCAAGCAGCGGACGGGUGAGUAAAGCACAAGGACUUGUCCGAAAGAGAGGGACACCUGCGGGAAACCGGAGCUAAUACCUCAUAAGCCGGAAGGUGAAAAGCAGAGAUGCGCUUUUGGAGAGACUUGUGUCCUAUCAGGCAGUUGGUGAGGUAACGGCUCACCAAACCGAAGACGGGUAGCCGGACUGAGAGGUCGACCGGCCACAUUGGAACUGAGAGACGGUCCAG